rnacentral:misc_RNA from 1 species
GAUGAAGAAACGCAGCGAAAUGCGAUAAGUAAUGUGAAUUGCAGAAUUCAGUGAAUCAUCGAGUCUUUGAACGCACAUUGCGCCCCCUGGUAUUCCGGGGGGCAUGCCUGUCCGAGCGUCAUUGCCGCCCUCAAGCACGGCUUGUGUGUUGGGCCCCCGCCCCCCGGCUUCGGGGGGCGGGCCCGAAAGGCAGCGGCGGCACCGCGUCCGGUCCUCGAGCGUAUGGGGCUUCGUCACCCGCUCUGUAGGCCCGGCCGGCGCCCGCCGGCGACCCCAAUCAAUCUUUCCAGGUUGACCUCGGAUCAGGUAGGGAUACCCGCUGAACUUAAGCAUAUCAAUAAGCGGAGGA